rnacentral:tRNA from 1 species
GGGGGUGUGGCUCAGUGUUACAGCACUUGCCUAGCAGGCACGGGGUCUGGGUUCCAUCCCAGCACCACAA